AGCUCUGUAAGCGUAUAUCAAAGUUGUUGCAGUUAAAACGCUCGUAGUCGAAUCUUGGCUGAACUUACGCGGAGUCCGCAAGGAUUCUGCGGUUGAGGAAAGCCUUUGUGGAUUGUGUGCGCGGAGGUGUUUUAUUACACUUCCGUUGUACUGCCACCGUUUACUGUGAAAAAAUUAGAGUGUUCAAAGCAAGCGAUUUGCCCUGAAUACAUUAGCAUGGAAUAAUAGAAUAGGACCUGGUCUUAUUUUGUUGGUUUGUAUAAUUUCAGGUAAUGAUUAACAGGGACGGUUGGGGGCAUUCGUACUGGGCAGUUAGUGGUAAAAUACGUUGACCUGCUCAAGACGCACUAAUGCGAAAGCAUUUGCCAAGGAUGUUUUCAUUAAUCAAGAACGAAAGUAC
rnacentral:rRNA from 1 species